UCUGUGGUUCUGUCAUUCAGUGGCAAUAAUUAUUAAAAAUACCUGCUAGGGGAUAAGGAUGAGGACUGCUGGGAUAGAAGAAUUACUAACAAGCAGCAAAGUCUUCAGAGCAGAGUCUCUCUCUGUUUCAUGAAUAGGCUGAUAAACCCAAGUGCUUCUCCACAGUGAUAUCAAACCAAAAAUUAUGACUGAAAUCCUACUGGCAAUUGUUGCCCCCGAGCCUUCAUUAUGGCCCUGUUUUUUUCCUGAUCUUCCAGCCCCGAAGGAAUUGGCCAGGGAGCUCCUGCUGUCUGGCUGGUUUGUGCUGACUGUCCCCCCCAGCUCUCUGGAGUAGUUCACACAGCACUGAGUGAAAAGGAUGCCUGGUCUGACUGAAUCAUUCCUCAUUAGCUCAGUGGGCAGCAGAUUUAGGAGCUAGAUUUGCAAUGAACAUUUAUUAGAUUUUGUCUCUUCUGGGGAUAGCUAAUUUUUUUUUAUCAUCAGAUUCCAUGACUUAGUAGCAUAAUUAGCUAUUAGACAUAUAUACUCCAGUCAAGAGCUGCUUUUUAAUUUUUUUGUAAGCCUGCUUAAUCUAGGGGACUUUCUUUUCUCAUUUAUAGGGGAGUUUUGCACAGUUCUUCUGACAAGUGCAAGAUAGCCAGUGGGAAUGAGAUCUGUAAUUAAUCCACUGAAUGCUCAGUGCAGGCAGAACAGCUCUUGGGUGAAGAAACUCUUCAUGCUCUGGAAGGUCUCUGUUGGAGUCCUGUGGUUCAAAUACUUCAGUAAGUUCCAUAUAGACUAACAGUAUCCUGGGACUGAUACAGGUUGAUGCCUAGACUGGAUAAAGAGGAAAAAUCCAAGCACGUGGUUUCCAGAAUUCACUGGCUGGUGAGAAUCAAAACAUCUCCUGAUUUGCCUGAGGAUCUUAAUUUUUUUUUGGAAGAUAUUUAAUGGGAAAAGGGAGAAAAAUACAGAUAUUUCACAGAGAAUAUAGACAGAACAGCAGGAUGGGGGGAGUGUGGAAGUAGGUCAGAUGCAUUGCAGACAAAAAAAAUCAUUAUUAUGAUUAGGAGAGAUUAAGGAAGGCAAGAGCAAACAGCAUCAAAGGAAUCCAAUUUAUCAAGCCAUUUAAACAAGAGCGUUCCUUGCGAGGCAAGUUCUCCAUACUGCACAUCAAUUUGGAACAAAAUGAGAGGAGACUGUCCCACACUAUAUAUCUAAUUCAAGAGCUACUCUUCUCUAAAUUAAUCCAUGAAGAAACCUGUUUUAAUUGUCGUGAGGAACAAACACUGCAGAACUGCUGCCCACCUUCCUUGCUUGAGUUCUUUCAGCUCUUUCAUUUUUCAGGCUCUAAUUACCACUUGGAGCUGCAGGUGAGGGAUGCACUGGGGGAAUGGCAGUGCUGGCUGACAGCACUCAAUCAAUCCCUGCUGCAGCACAGCAGGUGCUUCACAUGAAAUAAGGAGAGUCUCAGCUCCAAGAUUUCGUGUAAAAGGCAAUUUAUAAGGGUGAAGUUAUUUCUUCUGAGGACAUUAAGAAACUUGGCAAUGACAAGUAGAUUUUGUUGCUUAACUUUUGGGCAAUGAGGAGCCUGGGAGAUGUGACCAGAUGUGACUCAGUCUCCUUUUCUGCCCCUUUUUUUUGGUUUUGAUGAGCUUCUCUGUCCCAUGUGCCAUAACAGCAGGGACGUGGAUUUUGAGUUGAAUGAGGUUUGCUUGCCUUGUUUGUAUCAGAAAUACUGAAUACUGAAAACUUUAGCUCUGUAAAACAGAACAUUCUUCUCCUCCAGCAUGUUUUGGGGUUUUUUUUAUGUACCAAAGAGACUUUAAUGGUAAACAUAGGCAGUGCCUCUUCAUUUGCAAGAGGCCUUUUGUAAGACAGACCCUGUGCUGCAUGAAUUCUGUUGUAAUUGAGAUUUUGAGGCCUGUGAGACAGACCCUGUGCUGCAUGAAUUCUGUUGUAAUUGAGAUUUUGAGGCCUGUGAGACAGACCCUGUGCUGCAUGAAUUCUCUGACUUCACCCCAAGCUGGAGUGCUCCUUGCAUGUUUUUAUCAUUGGCUUGGGUCCUCCAGACAGAAACCACAACCUCUGAGCUGUUUGACAGAGCUCAAAUGUUUCUUAGCAGGAGCAAGCUGUCAGAAAUUUGAACAAGAUGUUGAUGUCUCUUAGCAGUGGGUUAAACACUGGCUGAACAUCUGAAAUCUCAGAGCUCUGCUGCCAGGGCUGGUUGUGCAACCUGAACCAGGCCCUGCAGAACUGCUGACUCGAGCCAGAGUGGGGGGAAAGUUUGGCAUUUUAGAAGUUUUUCAUUAACAACACAUUUUAUGCCACUCAUUAGUUGCCUAUUCAGGAGGAACUGGGGGCUGAAGAAUGCUGAAAUUUCCAAGUGUUGGUUCCCCAUCCAGCUGAAGUUACAGCUGGGGCAUCCUCAGCCUUCCAAGAUGAGAAGUCGAUUCUUUUCUGCUGCUUUUGCAGUGAUUUGGGGCAGUACAAACCCAGCCUGAGUGAGCUCCUUUGUUCCUGACUGGCUGUCACAUUGUCACUCUGGCAGGGUCACCCUUCAGGUCCAGACACUGCCACAACUCUGCUCUUUGUACAGCAGAUAUUUCUGAGAUUGGUGGAAAUAACCUGACUCUCCUUUGUUUGGGCAACAGAGUGAGUGUAUGGGGAAAAUCUCAUCCCCAGUCUUGUCUUGGACCUCUUCCAAAGAUUGGCAUAAAUGUGGAAGCAAGAUAUUCAUCUUUUUAUUUUGAUGAAACUCCAGAUCCUGAUGGUUUUAUGCAUGUUAAAGGCUUCCUUCAAGUCUUGCUACCACAGCUCUGACUGGUCUAAGUUGUUCUGGAGCUUCUGGGCUCAAUAAAAUUAUGGUAAAUUUUACCAGUAAGAUUUUG